AAACUUUGGUGAUAAAACACACAUAUCACCCGCCCGGGUACUACGAGCAUUAGCUUAAAACCCAAAGGACUUGGCGGUGCUUUAGAUCCACCUAGAGGAGCCUGUUCUAGAACCGAUAACCCCCGUUAAACCUCACCCUCCCUUGUUUUUCCCGCCUAUAUACCGCCGUCGUCAGCUUACCCUGUGAAGGUCUAAUAGUUAGCAAGAUCAGUAGAACUCAAAACGCCAGGUCGAGGUGUAGCAAAUGAGAGGGGAAGAAGCGGGCUACAUUUCCUGACCCAGGAAAUCACGGACAAGGCCAUGAAAUUGGGCCUUGGAAGGAGGAUUUAGCAGUAAGCAGGGAAUAGAGAGCCUU
rnacentral:rRNA from 1 species